rnacentral:rRNA from 1 species
AAAUUUGAGAGGAGCUGUCCUUAGUACGAGAGGACCGGGAUGGACCGACCUAUGGUGCACCAGUUGUUCCGCCAGGAGCAUCGCUGGGUAGCUAAGUCGGGACGGGAUAAACGCUGAAAGCAUCUAAGCGUGAAGCCUCCCUCAAGAUGAGAUUUCCCAUAGCAUAAGCUAGUAAGACCCCUUGAAGAACACGAGGUUGAUAGGUCAGAGGUGUAAGUAUGGCAACAUAUUUAGCUGACUGAUACUAAUAGGUCGAGGGCUUGACCAA